rnacentral:rRNA from 1 species
AAUCCAUAGGUUAAUGAGGCGAACCGGGGGAACUGAAACAUCUAAGUACCCCGAGGAAAAGAAAUCAACCGAGAUUCCCCCAGUAGCGGCGAGCGAACGGGGAGGAGCCCAGAGCCUGAAUCAGCAUGUGUGUUAGUGGAAGCGUCUGGAAAGGCGCGCGAUACAGGGUGACAGCCCCGUACACAAAAGCGCAUGUGCUGUGAGCUCGAUGAGUAGGGCGGGACACGUGGUAUCCUGUCUGAAUAUGGGGGGACCAUCCUCCAAGGCUAAAUACUCCUGACUGACCGAUAGUGAACCAGUACCGUGAGGGAAAGGCGAAAAGAACCCCGGCGAGGGGAGUGAAAAAGAACCUGAAACCGUGUACGUACAAGCAGUGGGAGCACCCUUUGGGUGUGACUGCGUACCUUUUGUAUAAUGGGUCAGCGACUUAUAUUCUGUAGCAAGGUUAACCGAAUAGGGGAGCCGGAGGGAAACCGAGUCUUAACCGGGCGUUAAGUUGCAGGGUAUAGACCCGAAACCCGGUGAUCUAGCCAUGGGC